AUGCUCGUGAACUUUGCUUUUAAAUCAUUUCCCGGCCGAGCCGCGGCAGAGUGCGGAGCCAGCGUUUUGGCAUCACCCCUCCACGCACUUGAGGAAAGUUUGUGCAACCCUCCCGGCAGGGCAGGAGCUCCGAUGGGCGUCGUGCGCGCCCUGUCCUGCGGCGCUGGCGGACCGAGCCAAGGUGCUGCUCAGCGGGCCAAGGCGGUGCGGGCAGCCCCGUGUGCGUGGCACCGUCGCCUGGCCCUGUCGUGGCCGCUGUCACACCGGGGCCCAGCGCUGGCUGCUCUGACAAAAGCAGAGGCGUGUGUCCCUCUUUCAUCUCUCUGUGUUGACCCCCGCCCUGACUGCUGUCGGUGUCGUGCCAGAGGCCAGGAGCGGCAGAUUUGCUUUGGGCCUGGCCAGUGGUUGGAACGGCUUCAGCAGGAAUCGCUGAAUCCCGAACUGAUGGACGCACAGCUGGCUGUGUCAGCCUCCCUGUUAACACCUCCUUCCGCUUUCCAAAAUAACGCUAAUAGCAGUAGUAAUAAUAAAAAAACGUUACAUGGAGAAGCAAAAAAAGGACUAGUGGGCUUUUACAUUAACUUUAUUCACACGCCGUGUUUUGUUCUGCGGGGGCUCGAUCCCUCGUGAGAGCAUUUCCCUGCCAGCGUUGCUUUCUGCGGUGGGAGAGUUUUCGGCAACCAUCUUCUGUGGGUGCUGGCGGCGCACGCCGGCCCUGCUGGGGCUGGAGGUGCGUUUGCGCUGCGGAGAUCGAUUCUGGAGGGACAGGCUCGGGAGAGGCUGAGCAUUGCACAGCUCCUGCAUCCCCUCAUCAGAGCGCGGCCGAGCUUUGGCCUUUGUGUGGCUUUGGGGGCCGUGUACCAGUGGGUGCAUCCGGCUGCCAGGAGAAGCGGGCUGUGAACAAAGCCAGGUCACGACAGGUGCCUCUGGCCCGGCGCGUGCCAGACCCCUGUGCCGCUCGCAGGCUCCUGCAGCUGAUGGCUCCGGGGGCUUCGGCCUGGGAAGGGCCCCCGGGGCCACAGCGGGUGCCUGCUCCCGAAGGGUGGGUCAUCCCCCACACCGUUUGGGAGCCCUGGGGGAGCCUGUCCAUCCCUGGGGAGAUGCAGGGGGAGACUAGAGAGAGGAGCUGCUCUCUGAGGAGCAGGCCUGCCCUUCUCUUCUCCCUCCUCGACAGCCAAAAUUCAGGCUGGGUGUCCAGCGCAUGGCGGCAGCGAUGGGGCUGUCGAGGCAGGAGAGUGGGAAUCAAAACAUCUGUGCGCAGGCCUGGGCGCCGCAGCCUCUAAUGGUUUUGACGGAGCUGUUGUGGUCUGUUGUCUGGAAAAUCUGCAUUCUGCGCCGUGCCCGAGGGGGCCGCGGCACCGCAGACCGUGGCGGUACCUAAAUAUAACCGCCUCGCGCCGAGGGGUGAGGUGAGGGCAGCGGGAGCAGGCCGCCCGCUCGCCUUCUGCUUUGUCUCUGAUCUGCGAUUCAGGCAUUUUUGUUUGCUCCUGAGGUUGGGUUUGUGUGUAGGCAGGGAUUGGAGAAAUAGAUAAAUUCCAGCUAGUUUAAAAAAAAAAAUAAACCCAAAGAGCAAAACA
rnacentral:lncRNA from 1 species